rnacentral:lncRNA from 1 species
CCAUUCACUGCUGGCACCAUGCAGAGGGCGACUCCUGGGAUGUUUCAUUUAAUCCUCACAGCAGCACAGUUGUCAAUCUGAGGAUGAAGGAGAGAGAAUUGCUCGUGGUCCUGUUUGGACUGCACUGCACCUGUGGCCCUUGCUCUGGGCUCCAGAACUUUUGCCUAGAAAGCAGAGGUGUCUGAGAGCCGGGCUGGUCUGGGAGGGAGGCAGAGGAAAAGACACCAAGCACACUCAGAGCCUGCACCAGUACACCUGCCUGGCAGUGGGUGUGGAAGAGCCAAAACUGCAAUCAAGACCCCUACCCCCACCGGCCAGGUUCUCAGCGCCCACUGGUCUACGUUCCAGCCUCCUGGAGUCCCUCUGAGUGUGUCUGU